rnacentral:rRNA from 1 species
AUGGCAGCAGGUGGAGCUAUUACAAACAAGACACUUGAUGAAGCUUUUCUGCUGAUUGAGAGCAUAGCUUUCCACCAACUUCAGUGGUACAAUAAGAAGCCCACAUCUGAUUCAUUGGUUUGCUUGCAACAAAUCACUACACCUCAACCACCAAUUCUUAGACAAAAGCUCGAGCCUCUAUCUCAGUGUGACAAGGUUGAGCUUGCAUGGAUUAUAUUUGACGAUAAUGACACCAUUCUAGUUGACACACACGCUACAGAUCAUCUGGAUACUAGUGUUGGAGAUUCAGUUUUGCAUUGUAAUGAUUCUUCCAUGGAUGAGCCAGAGCUGCAGUUCGUUGCUUUUGAUAUUGAGGAGUCACCUUUAGUUGAUAUUGAUCAUGUGCUGCUAGAGCCAGAUAUGGAGAAGUUCGCCUUUGAUGAUGUUAGCCGCAUUGAUUCUUCAACACUUGAGCCUGAGAUGGAGAGCUUCAUGGUUGAUUAUGGUGAGGUGGAUUCAGAUGUCAAGGAGUCAAGCUCUAUUUCACUUGUUGACACGAGUCCGGUGGAAAUUUCUACUACCACACCUCACUUGGUAUCUUCAAUUGAGGUAGUCCUGAAGCUUCUUCCCAAGUAUCUCAGUAAUCGAGGUGACGUGGCAUCAUUAGCGGGGAUUACUGUAGCUUAA